rnacentral:lncRNA from 1 species
CUUUAAAUGAGUCCUUUAUUUCUGCCAUCUUUUAAUGUAUAGGUCAUUUUUCUCUCUUCUUUAAAUUAUGGGACACAAUUCUAUAUACCGGUACUUUAUAAUUGAACACCCCAGUUUUCUAUAUUUUCUUGCUCUAUUUGUGUCUAUUCUUUAAUCUUUAUGGUCCAUUUUUUUUUCUAUUCUGUAUACCCAAUAUAGACCCUCAAGCAAGAAAUCCGUGACAUUGUUUGAAGAAAUAAAAUGCUUUGUCUCUCUGAAUUUGAAAUUUUUCUACUUUCUCUUGUUAGUACUGUGGUUACUAAGUGGGUGAAUUUGAUAUUGUUCUGGUCAAUCAAAACUGAUCAAACUAAAUUUUUAACUGCUUAGUCAAGCUCACAAUAUUUACCAGAAAGUCGCCUAACAGUAGUUUGUACUCCCAGCAGUAAGAGAAGUUAAAUAAUCGAGAACCCACGUCUAUACAUAAUGCAUAUGUCACACUCAUUUAAGAUUCAAGAGUCAAUAGUGUAUUAAACUAAGUCUCGCCACUUUCAUCUUUCCUUUCCGUAAGCGCACGAGAACACCUCUUUUUGUACUUCUGAGUUUAAAUAUCCCUUUGGUAAUGUUUUCCUCUUUUAUACAACACACAUUUAGAACAAGAUAC